UACGUAGGGUGCAAGCGUUAAUCGGAAUUACUGGGCGUAAAGCGUGCGCAGGCGGCUUUGCAAGUCAGAUGUGAAAUCCCCGGGCUUAACCUGGGAACUGCAUUUGUGACUGCAUGGCUGGAGUGCGGCAGAGGGGGAUGGAAUUCCGCGUGUAGCAGUGAAAUGCGUAGAGAUGUGGAGGAAUACCAAUGGCGAAGGCAGCCCCCUGGGAUAAUAUUGACGCUCAUGCACGAAAGCGUGGGGAGCAAACAGG
rnacentral:rRNA from 1 species